GACGAACGCUGGCGGCGUGCUUAACACAUGCCAGUCGAACGGAAAGGCCCUGCCUUUGUGGGGUGCUCGAGGGGCGAACGGGUGAGUAACACGUGAGUAACCUGCCCUUGACUUUGGGAUAACUUCAGGAAAGUGGGGCUAAUACCGGAUAGGAGCUCCUGCUGCAUGGUGGGGGUUGGAAAGUUUCGGCGGUUGGGGAUGGACUCGCGGCGUAUCAGCUUGUUGGUGGGGUAGUGGCUUACCAAGGCUAUGACGGGUAGCCGGGCUGAGAGGGUGACCGGCCACGCUAGGACUGAGAUGCGGCCCAGACUCCUCCGGGAGGCAGCGGUGGGGUAUAUUGCACAAUAGGCGGGAGCCUGAUGCAACAACGCCGCGUGGGGGGUGACGGCCUUCGGGUUGGAAACCACUUUCGCCUGUGACGGAGCGUGAGUGACGGUAAUGGGUAAAGAAGCACCGGCUAACUACGUG
rnacentral:rRNA from 1 species